rnacentral:tRNA from 1 species
CCGUAGCUCAGUGGUAAGAGCGGUCGGCUCAUAACCGAUUGGUCGCAGGUUCGAUCCCUGCCGGGCC